rnacentral:rRNA from 1 species
GACAGAGGUGCCGAGCGUUAGGCGGAAUCACUGGGCUUAAAGCGUGUGUAGGCGGUCCGUUAAGUACCUUGUGAAAUCCCCCGGCUCAACCGGGGAACGGCUGGGUAUACUGGCGGUCUUGAGCCAUCCAGGGGCAGUCGGAACAGACGGUGGAGCGGUGAAAUGCGUAGAUAUCGUCUGGAACGCCGAAGGUGAAAACAGACUGCUGGGGAUGCGCUGACGCUGAGACACGAAAGCCAGGGGAGCGAACGGG